rnacentral:rRNA from 1 species
GAUGAACGCUGGCGGCGUGCCUAAUACAUGCAAGUCGAGCGAACGGACGAGAAGCUUGCUUCUCUGAUGUUAGCGGCGGACGGGUGAGUAACACGUGGAUAACCUACCUAUAAGACUGGGAUCACUUCGGGAAACCGGAUCUAAUACCGGAUAAUAUUUUGAACCGCAUGGUUCAACAGUGAAAGACGUUCUUGCUGUCACUUAUAGAUGGAUCCGCGCUGCAUUAGCUAGUUGGUAAGGUAACGGCUUACCAAGGCAACGAUGCAUAGCCGACCUGAGAGGAUGAUCAGCCACACUGGAACUGAGACACGGUCCAGACUCCUACGGGAGGCAGCAGUAGGGAAUCUUCCGCAAUGGGCGAAAGCCUGACGGAGCAACGCCGCGUGAGUGAUGAAGGUCUUCGGAUCGUAAAACUCUGUUAUUAGGGAAGAACAUAUGUGUAAGUAACUGUGCACAUCUUGACGGUACCUAAUCAGAAAGCCACGGCUAACUACGUG